CUUUACUAAAAUGAGUGGUUCUAGUAGUUCUAAGUACUAAACAACAUUAAAAAGGUAAUUAGCUUAACAAUCAUUGGACCUUUGCCUCCUCUUGUCAUCUUUCUCUCUCUUUCUCUAUGUUCCCUGUGUUGAGUAUAGUCCUCUUCCUUCUCCCACCUUACUCAGCCGAGAAUCCUGAUGAAUUCUGUCCACAUGCAUCCCAAACGGACCAGAAAUUAUGAAAUACCCAAAAAAUUUGUUCAUGGGGGUAAAAGCUGCUUAUUAGGAAUGUCUAGCCCACAAUUUUGUGCAGACUUAUGGGGUUAUGUUAAAUAUUGUGUAAGUAUAGGGUUUAGAGAGUAAAUUUUCCUUUAACUUAUUAAAUAAGCCAUUAAGCUUUCUUCUUCUUCUGCGAGGAAAAACAGAAAGCGCAGGGGAGAAGAGAGAAAAGAGAGAAAAGGAUAGAAGAAAAGAAAGGAGAAAGAAAAAGACAAAAAAAGGGGGAAAGAAAAAGAAAGAAGAAGAAGGAGAAGAGGAAAUUGAUAGGAAAAUAGGGAUAAGGUAUCAAAUUUUCAUUUAAUAAACUCUAGGGUUUGAAAUCACUAUUUAAAUUGGGGAUUUUCAAAUUUGAACUAUGUUGCUUCAAAUUGGUGCGAAUUGGUGGAGAAGCAGGAAGAUUCAUAAAGAAUUUCAGUAUCAGCUUUGGGUCUGCACAAAUUUAUUUUAUGACAGGUAUGACAAAUUUUCAGUUGCUCUGCCUGCGUAAUAUUUCACGUCAGGUAUGACAAAUGUUAGUUGCUUUGCCUGUGCAGUAUUUUAUGCCAGUAUUUUACCCUAAGCAUGAUAGAUUUCAAUUGUUCUACCCAAGCAAGAUUCAGCAUGUCAGAUAUGACAGUUCUUUCUCGCUCUGCCUGUGUUGGGGACACCUAUCGGGACAUCUCCAGGACCGUGUCGAGCAAUGACUUUGCCCAAGGUUGUGCCACAAUAUAGCAUCUUCAAUAGGUGUCCCAGGUUGCAUACAUAUAUUUGGAUUUUCUUUGAGAAACUUAUGAAACGUUGAAGGUCGAAGGCCUAGUUAAUCUAUUUUCAUGAUUUAGAGUGGAAAUCAAGAUGUAAAAUUAAUGUUAUGCACAUGAUAAGGUGGGAGGCCAAAUUAAAAGCUUAUUUCAUGUUUUGAAUUUGAAA